AGUAACAUUUCUCUGUUAUUUUCGGAACAACUUGGAAUAUCUUAUUGGUAGUUUAUAUACAAAGUCAUUUUGAUAAUUAUCAUGCUGCAAACCUACAUAGUUUUCUAUAUUAAUCAUGUCAUGCUAAAAUAUAGAAGUUAUAGCUUCAAUAAAUUGAUAAAAUACAGAUUUGGGCUUUACAUAUUUAUUGAAUAUAUAUUUACAUAUGAAUACGUCGUUACGGUCGGACUCCAGCGAGCAGCAGUGGUUGUUAUACCCCACCAGGUAACUUGCUACUGUUGGUGAAACUCUCUUGUGCAGAAACGCCGAUCUUGAAAUCUUGAUCCUACUUAUAGGCCGUAUUGCAUGCAAUGUACUCAUGUUUUACUGAACAUGUAGGUAACAUGAAAUUUUGAUCUUCUCCCAUCACUGAAAGUUGUGUUUUAAACUUGCAAAAGCAUUGCUAAGCCUAUUCAAUCAUUUCUAUUUUACCCUAGAUUUCACCCCAUACCACAAUUGAGAUACAAAUGGGCGUUACUGAUGUCGAGGAGAAGAGUUAGAAGCUCUUGGAUUGAGAAUCUGAGAUUUAUAUAGGUUCAGUAGACCAAAAAGUUUCGGAUUCACUACUCCAGAUACAACGAUGCGGUAUAUAUAGUUAACUUCGUACUUUAUAUUACCAAUUUUUCUUCCUCCAAGAGUUCUCCGGAUAUAAUUUACACCUGAAACAAUAAAUUGUUAAAAGCAAGGAAAAGUAACAAGUUCUGCAAAUUAGUUUCAUCAGGAGAGAACUGGCUGAAAUGAAGCUAAUACCCAUGUACUGAAUAUCCUGCAGUGGUUAGUAUACUAAAGAGUAAAACUGCAUGUUUUUGUCAUAUCUGAAACCCUUUUCUGCUCCAUACUUUACGUAAACAAUGCCUGUGCAUUGGCAUAAGAACCAUAGAUUGAAAAAUCAUCAUCCAUUGUCAUUCGUCACCCUGGCAAUGAUGCAUUUGCUAUUCAGAAGACUUCUUGUCCGGUUUAGUGUGUGAUUUGUUACUAUGAUAAGGAAACAUUUCCUCAACCCAUCUUUCACUACACACACAGGUUGCACAGAGGAGUAUAAGGAUUUCUUCAUCGGGCCAGUCCACGUGGAAGAUGUCGCGUUAGCCCGUAUCACGCUGUUUGAAAACCCGGCUGCAUCCGGGAGGCACCUCUGUGUGGAGCCCAUAUGUCACUUGAGCGAUUUCGCGUCCCAAGUCGCGGAGCUCUACCCCGACCACACGAAGUCCCGAAAUUACCUGAGGACACGCAGCCUGGGCUGGUGAGAGCGGAGGCGGUGCCGAAGAAGCUGAUGGCACUGGGCCUGCAUUUCACUCCUUUGGAAAAGAUCAUCAAGGAUGCGGUGGAGAGCCUUCGGAGAAGAGGAUGCAUCGCCUGAUGGCUGGAUUAUUAGCUGUAUACCAUAUUCCUUCCCUUCUGUUGUAGGGUCAUGAUCAACCCUUGCUCCAGAGAUGUGUUGUGCCCAGCCCAGUGCUAGACCUUAUAGUUGCCUGUAUGAUUGUGCAAUAACGGCUGGUUGAUCUACUGGUACACCUGUCUGUUCUUGCUAGAUUCUUCCAAGAAGUCCUUGGGUGUUGCAAGGAAGAUCACCGAUGAAUAAUUGUCCAGGAUAAGAGAAGAAAACAGUACUCUCGAAAUAGAACCAAUAAUCUAUUCACAAAAUA